rnacentral:rRNA from 1 species
UACAGAGGUCCCAAGCGUUGUUCGGAUUCAUUGGGCGUAAAGGGUGCGUAGGCGGCGCGGUAAGUCGGGUGUGAAAUCUCGGGGCUUAACUCCGAAACUGCAUUCGAUACUGCCGUGCUUGAGGACUGGAGAGGAGACUGGAAUUACGGUGUAGCGGUGAAAUGCGUAGAUAUCGUAAGGAAGACCAGUGGCGAAGGCGGGUCUCUGGACAGUUCCUGACGCUGAGGCACGAAGGCCAGGGAGCAAACGGG